rnacentral:rRNA from 1 species
AAUGGAGGAAACUCUGACGCAGCCAUGCCGCAUGCAGGAUGACAGCCCUACGGGUUGUAAACUGCUUUUCUGCAGGAAGAAUCCAUCCUACGUGUAGGGUGUUGACGGUACUGUAGGAAUAAGCAUCGGCUAACUCCGUGCCAGCAGCCGCGGUAAUACGGAGGAUGCAAGCGUUAUCCGGAUUCAUUGGGUUUAAAGGGUGCGCAGGCGGAUGUGUAAGUCAGAGGUGAAAGCCCACAGCUUAACUGUGGAAUUGCCUUUGAUACUGCAUGUCUUGAGUCUGGUUGCGGUAGGCGGAAUGUAGUAUGUAGCGGUGAAAUGCAUAGAUAUACUACAGAACACCCAUUGCGAAGGCAGCUUACCAAACCAGCACUGACGCUCAGGCACGAAAGCGUGGGGAGCAAACAGGAUUAGAUACCCUGGUAGUCCACGCCGUAAACGUUGAUCACUCGUUGUUGGCAAUACACCGUCAGCGACUAAGCAAAAGCAUUAAGUGAUCCACCUGGGGAGUACGAUCGCAAGGUUGAAACUCAAAGGAAUUGACGGGGGCCCGCACAAGCGGAGGAGCAUGUGGUUUAAUUCGAUGAUACGCGAAGAACCUUACCCGGGCUUAAAUGUAGGGUGCAUCCCCGAGAAAUCGGGGUUUCCUUCGGGACUCCCUACAAGGUGCUGCAUGGUUGUCGUCAGCUCGUGCCGUGAGGUGUCGGGUUAAGUCCCAUAACGAGCGCAACCCCUAUCUUUAGUUGCUAACAGAUAAUGCUGAGGACUCUAAAGAAACUGCCCGCGCAAGCGGUGAGGAAGGUGGGGAUGACGUCAAAUCAGCACGGCCCUUAUGUCCGGGGCUACACACGUGUUACAAUGGCCGGUACAGUGGGCAGCUCAUGCGCGAGCAUUUGCUAAUCUCUAAAACCGGUCUCAGUCCGGAUCGGAGUCUGCAACCCGACUCCGUGAAGCUGGAUUCGCUAGUGAUCGCACAUCAGCCAUGGUGCGGUGAAUACGUUCCCGGGCCUUGUACACACCGCCCGUCAAGCCAUGGAAGCUGGGGGUACCUGAAGUCCGUAACCGUUCAAGGAGCGGCCUAGGGUAAAACCGGUGACUGGGGCU